rnacentral:rRNA from 1 species
GGGCCGCACGCGCGCUACACUGACGGAGCCAGCGAGUACAACCUUGGCCGAGAGGUCUGGGUAAUCUUGUGAAACUCCGUCGUGCUGGGGAUAGAGCAUUGCAAUUAUUGCUCUUCAACGAGGAAUUCCUAGUAAGCGCAAGUCAUCAGCUUGCGUUGAUUACGUCCC